CACGUAGGGCGCAAGCGUUGUCCGGAAUUACUGGGCGUAAAGGGCUCGUAGGCGGCCAACUAAGUCAUACGUGAAAUCCCCCGGCUUAACCGGGGAACUGCGUCUGAUACUGGAUGGCUUGAGUUCGGGAGAGGGAUGCGGAAUUCCAGGUGUAGCGGUGAAAUGCGUAGAUAUCUGGAGGAACACCGGUGGCGAAGGCGGCAUCCUGGACCGAUACUGACGCUGAGGAGCGAAAGCCAGGGAGCAAACGGG
rnacentral:rRNA from 1 species